AUGUUGGGCUCUGUGCUGACAAUGCGGAGCCUGCUUGGGAUUCUCUCUCCUUUUCUCUCUGCUCUUCCUGCUGGCUCUCUCACUCUCUCUCUCAAAAUAAAUAAACUUAAAAAAAUUUGUUCCUAUUCUCUUUCCAGGGUUCCUCAUGCCAACACCUGGCCCCAGAGGUAUAAACACAUCACAACAAUGGUACAGAGACAAGGAAUGGCUUCACUGAGACUUAUCCACUGCUUGAUAUCAAGGCACAUUUCCUGCUGAGCCCAGAGGCAGCCUGGCAAACCCGGAGUUGGUACAAACCCUGACACUGACUUGCUGGUCUUUGCCUGGGCCUACUAAAGACCCAUCCUGAUGACAUUUAAGCAUUACAGAACCAGGUAAGGAAGUGUUUGGGGACUCUAGGUCUAAACGAGGGAUUCUCCCAAGAAACAGACCACUUCAUUUCAUCUGUUUUGAUUUUUUUUAAAGCUGUCAUGAACUAUUUUUGAAAAGCUGCUAUAGAGAACAUUGAUUUUGUAUUUUAUUAGAAAGAUUUUUUUAAUGUUUUAUUUAUUUUUGAGAGAGAGAGAGAGCAUGAGCAGGGGCAGGUCAGAGAGAGAAGGAGACACAGAAACUGAAGACAAGCUCCAGGCUCUGAGCUACCUGUCAGCACAGAGCCCGAUGUGGGGCUUGAACCCAUGAACCACGAGAUCAUGAACUUGAGCUGAAGCCGGACGCUCAACCAACUGAGCCACCCAGGUGCCCCUGAUUUUAUAUUUUAAAAAACUGUUUAAGCAUUCACUAAAUACAAAGUUGACACUAUAUUACUAAGUCAGAAGUCACAUAUAGAAAUCUUACACUACAGCUUUUCUUCAAAAGUCCCUUAAAGAAACACUGAUAAUCCUUUAACCCACUUUUUCACUCUUAUGCAGUUAUCACGGUCUUUGUCAAAUGCAAAAAAUACUGAAAGAAAAAGACCAUAGAAGUGUAUUGUAACUUACAGCUAUUUUAUAAUUCAAAAGUGUGUACACAUGAAAAGAUUUUAGAAAUCUUCCUCCCAAAUUGAGGGGGAAAAAAGAUUUUGGCAGUCUUUAAAAGUCAAAAUUAUUGGAAAUUUUUCCCCAGACUUUUGUAGAAGGAAGAGUAAUUCUCCUCUCUGACCAAUGAUGAACUUCACUUGUGAUACUCUGUAUAGUUACUAUGAGCCAAGAAGACGAACAGUGGAGCUAAGCAAGGUGAUAACAUUUAUUCUAAAAAGACUGGCAAAGGGGGCACCUGUCUGGCUCAGUAGGUAGAGCAUGUGACUCUCGAUCUUGGGGUUCUGAGUUCAGACCCCGACUGGGUAUAGAAAUUACUUUAAAAAAUAAUAAAAUAAAUAAAUGAAUUUUAAAAGAGUGGAAAAAUUCUGUUCUAUAGGGACGCCUGGGUGGCCCACUCGGUUAAGUAUCCUAUUCUUGGUCUUGGCUCAGGUCAUGAUCUCAGUUUGUGAGUUCAAGCCCCACAUUGUGGUUGGCAUUGAGCCUGCUUGAGAUUCUCAGUGUCUCCCUCUCUCUCUGCCCCUCCCUCGCUUGUGUAUGAGAACUCUCUCUCCUCUCUCUCAAUAUGAACAAACUUAAAAAAAAUAUUAUUGACUCUUUUAGGGGUGAUGUUAAUUAUUUUGAUUACGAUUAUGGUUUCAAGGUAUAUACCUAUGUCAAAACUUUUCAAAAUGAACCCUAAAAAUGUGUUAGUGAAACUGG
rnacentral:lncRNA from 1 species